AUCUGUAAAUUUAAAAUUUACGAAAUAACAUAACAAUUUAUUGAUAUAAUAAUAAUGAUUUGUCUAAUAAUUGAAUUUAUUUUUGUUCCAUUUUUACUACCUUUGAAACAGAACUCGGAUCUCUCGAUGUGCUUCGGUGAAGAGCAGCUGAAGGUGUUACGGUAUGAACUGAAGCUGUCUCGUUCGUGCUUAGCAAAGUCUCAUCACGGCCAUCCGCCAGCGCCUGAGGAAAAUGAAACCUGAAACGAAAUUAAACCUACCAGUUCACUGAUCACAUCCCAUCUCCAAAAGGAAGAACUGCAUUGCCACAAGGUUAACGUUCUACGAUAGCCUUGCAAACAACGUAAAACCCCAAACAAAAUUAUCGACGUCAUGAAAAUAUUUUAGUAGUACGAAUCAACAACCGACUCAAGUUAAGUUGCGGAACUGUACAUUGAAAAACACAUAAUAAGGACAAGUUAAUCCAAAUUGGGGCAGCUGAUUGGUGACGUCCGAGGCAGAUCCGGUUACGGAAUUAUUAUGCAGACUGCUGCAUUCUCUACAUGGCCACCUCCUAAUGCCGACGGGCCAGCUGGUUCCAAGUGAAGAAUAAAUAAGUCUCUGUCUGACUUUAUUUUGUUGUGUUGGAAAACGGCUCAAAUAUUCCGAUCAAAGAUUGGGAAACCGCAAAACCGGGAACAAAUUUAAACAGGGUUUACACAAUUGCUUCGGUGUUGGAAGUGUUUAGAGCAGCGUGGCCACGAUGUAUCGCCGACAAGUAAAUCACGACCAAGAUCACAUAUCUGCUAAACGAUUUGGCCCAGUGGUGGCUGAAUUUUUAUUCAGACGGACGAGUUGCAGUUAAGUGAUCGAACAAUACGCAUUAUAAGGUAAUUAAGGUAAGAAAUUUUCCUUUAGUCCUUUUCUGUCCGAUUUUGUGGUAAACCAAAGUGGCGCUUUUUCCUGUCACUUCCGAGAACGAAGCCUUGGUAUGAACGGCGUGUGUAAAUUAGCUGUCGCCCCAUGACGACUAAAUCAUUUUUCCCCCCUUCACUUUCAAUUUUUGUCUAGAAUUAUCUUAUUAGCGAGUCUGGGCCGUUUCCGCUGAUACUGUGCCAAUCCUAUGCCGGCUGGUGUUGUGAACGAUGAAACAAUGGCAUGGAUGAAGAAACCUCGUUGUGCGGACUUCCGGAUAGUAUUUUACCGGAAGGUUCUUCCACUUGGCGGAAGCACAACAUUGACAUUAAAAAUACUUGAAGUUGUGGCAUCGGAUCGAACAAUACGCAUUACAAGGUAGUGACUUAUAAUACAGUAACGUGUCGAAUAGCAGCCCAAAGAAGAACCAAUCUUAGUCUGUGGAAGAACCAUUUACUGCCGAUACACCGCAGCAACCAACGGGGCGAUUGAACUUGUAGCCUUUGUAGGGCGAAAGAAGGUGGACAAGGAAGAGAAGUGUGAAUUUUGGUUUCCUUAAUAAGUUAAGAUCGAUAUUGAUUUUCUUAAGACAAGAUUGAUGCCACAAGCAGGACCGAUCCAGUGCUCCUAUCUGCCAUACCUUACAGCCGCUGCUCUGAAUCGGAAAGUUUGCAGCUAAUAAUUCUACUUCAACUUAAAGAUCCACAUUUGAGUUUCACUGUUCUGUUCGUGGAAUAAGUAUUUGAAAGAAGAUAAGGGUCACUUAGGAAGGCAUUCUCUCACGUAACUAUAAAACAUACGGUUUUAGUUUGUAAGGUCAGUCAGUGUCACACCAAAUAAAUUUAAAAAUCAAAA